rnacentral:rRNA from 1 species
CAACUAUGGAGAGUUUGAUCCUGGCUCAGAGUGAACGCUGGCGGCGUGCCUAAUACAUGCAAGUCGAACGAUGAAGCUUUUAGCUUGCUAGAAGUGGAUUAGUGGCGCACGGGUGAGUAAGGUAUAGUUAAUCUGCCCUACACUGGGGGACAACACUUAGAAAUGAGUGCUAAUACCCCAUACUCCUAUUUAACAUAAGUUAGAUAGGGAAAGUUUUUCGGUGUAGGAUGAGACUAUAUAGUAUCAGCUAGUUGGUAAGGUAAAGGCUUACCAAGGCUAUGACGCUUAACUGGUCUGAGAGGAUGAUCAGUCACACUGGAACUGAGACACGGUCCAGACUCCUACGGGAGGCAGCAGUAGGGAAUAUUGCGCAAUGGGCGAAA